AAACAAUUGUCAUCUUCAGUUUUGAGAGACUUAAGAAAGUUUUUCAUUAUAACUAACUUACUUGCAAAUUGUAUUUACAAUAUUUUAAUCUUUUUAAUAUUAAGGGACUAUAGAUCAGUUGGUUAUAGAGUACACACCUAAUAAUUGUGAGGUCGGUGGUUCAAGUUACACAUUUAGGCCCACCAUAACCACAAAUAGGCAAAAUAUUAAAAA
rnacentral:misc_RNA from 2 species